rnacentral:rRNA from 1 species
UACGAAGGGGGCUAGCGUUGUUCGGAAUUACUGGGCGUAAAGCGCACGUAGGCGGAUCGAUCAGUCAGGGGUGAAAUCCUGGAGCUCAACUCCAGAACUGCCUUUGAUACUGGAGAGCUCGAGUCCGGAAGAGGUGAGUGGAACUCCGAGUGUAGAGGUGAAAUUCGUAGAUAUUCGGAAGAACACCAGUGGCGAAGGCGGCUCACUGGUCCGGUACUGACGCUGAUGUGCGAAAGCGUGGGGAGCAAACAGG